CUUUCCACUCUCUGCUAGCAAAGAGCCCCACCAGUGUAGCACAAGUUGCUACCAGUGACUGAUAGAUUAUCAUUUCCAAAAUCACUGUAAAUGUUUCCCUUCUGAAAAUCUUAUGGAAGGAGAGCUCUGUAAGGGAAAGCAUCAAUCCGAAUCCAGCAGAUGCACCAACAGUGCAAAAGAGUCCAAUUUCAUAAUUCACAUUAGAGUUUCCGGUGGGGUUCGUAGAAUUGGUUUGAAAUACCAGCAGGGCAGAGGAGAUGGUGAGAAGGACUAGAGAAUUGAUUAUAAAAGGAGUAAACUUCUGGGAAUUUAUAAGGAAGGAGAAGAAAGCAUUGAAGGUCAACUGGGAUGCGCAAAUAAGUGCAAAAGUAGAUACUGGAAGGUGCAAGAGCCCAACUGAAUACAUCAUGCUGUUUGCUGCCUGAAGUACACCUAAAGAGACAUAUAUCAAAGCAAUGAUUAAGGUGGAGGGCUCAUUCCUGUGGAUACUGUUUGUAGUAGGCUUUUCGGGUGGAGAGAUGUAGUAGUAAGGAAUGAUGAUUGGGAAUCCUGCAAUUUGCACUAGUGUUGCUGUCCAUUUGCUCUUUCCACCUUUGUCAUAGUAGAAUCUUCCCAAGAGUAUAGCUGCUGACUGGCCAAAGAGGACAAAGAGUGUAAACAUGGUCAUUCGGAGCCACUGCAUAAAGGUUCUGGGUUGUGAGAUUGUUGAUUGGUUGGUGGCAUUGAUAUGACCAGGUGUGUUUGCUUCUUCAGCUUCUUGAACUGGUAAGAACAUGUAAAGGGAUUAUUAGAGGAGAAACUUUGCUAUCUUUUGAAUUCCUUUUUAAUGUUGAUGUGUAUUGCUUUCUAACUAAUUAGUUUGUCAACAAGCAUUAUUUUUUAGCAGCAUCAAUAAACACACUCAAUCUAUGCUACUAAUAGGGUC